UUACAGAGGUGCUGUCGUCACUCUACCUGUGAGCCUCAAGGUGUCUGUGGAGGUUUGGGUGAAGGACACGAGGCUUGACUCUCAAAGCUUGCUGCUCUGCCCGGCCACUGCAAGGAGAAAACGCUGCACCUCCGGUUUGCUGUGAAAUGUUUUUGUGGACAACGAAACUUCACCUGACUUCCCGUUGACAUGAGGGCUGCAGGGUGUGUGAACGAGGCUUUUCUCUCCGGGGACUCCCUCAAGAUAUGUAGAUCCAUCUGAAUGUCAAUGAAUGUGAUGAAUGUUAAAAUAGACAGUUUUAACUCCACAGUUGUCAAACAUUUACGUAUUACACAUUAUACUUACAUACAUAUAGAGCAUCAUCUGCAUUCCACCUAUCGCAACCCCACAGGAGACUGGCUGACAAACCAGGAGUGGAAUAAUAACAAAUAUUGUGAAAUGAUAAAUAAAUGAAGCAAUAAACAAGAUGUAGAUUCUGCAGA